GAUAGCAGAGAGAAUGUUGAAUACACCAGUUCACAAUGGAUCACUAAAGUUAAGCAACGUUGGACGUGGUUAGUAUCUGGAUGGGUGGCCAUCUGGGUAAUUACAAAAGCUGCUGAGA
rnacentral:rRNA from 1 species